rnacentral:lncRNA from 1 species
CAGACAGGCCUGUGAAUUGGUGGUUCUGGUCCUGGGGAUGCUGAGCUGGAGGAGAUGCACACUGCGGGGAGCAGGGUGGCCUCCCUGCCCUGACUUGAGGCUGCCAGUGGGUCACCUGUUUAUAUUACAACUGCACGUGCUAGAAAUUGACCUUUAGAAGUGAGAUUUUCCCUUGCUCACCAGAGCACCAAAGGUCCCUGACUUUAGACACUUCUACAGAGGUUUGUGGCUCCGUCGGUGUCAGCUGGACUUCUCUUUGCAAGAGGCACUUCGCAACCUUCAGGUAAUCUAAACAGCUCCCAGGAAAAUUUAGCUUCAGGCGGGGCUGAGUGUCUGCCCGAGGCAGCUCGGGGCUAUUUCUAGCCCUUGCAAAA